GUGGACUAGGUGAGAACGAGUUACAGACAAUGAGACUCAAAAUUACGACUUUGAAGCUAGCACGACGGGUGGUGAGGGAUAGAAAGAGAGAUCGACAGAGAGAGAGAGUACAGAG